CUCAGGAAGCUUCUCAACUUAUGACUCUUCCAGUGGAUUUCUGUGCUAGUGAGGUGUUUUUUUUUUAUACACUUUCUAUCCUUUCCCUUAUAUCCUGUUAAUUGAAACUAUUUUAACAUUUUUGUGGUAGUGUGCUGUUUUUUUUGAUUAGUAGCAAGUAUGAAAGCAUCAUCACCACAGUAUCAAGUUAUGGCUCUGUGCCUUCUCCUCCUGCAGGCUCUCUUGACACGUCACUGAGAUCAAUGAGAACUGCAUCUCUAUUACUGGUUAAAUAACGUAAUCACAGAAUAGCAUAUGUAUAAUGAAAUGUGUAAGCACUAUGUUGUAAAUAAUUACAAAAGAGGCAGCAGAAAGAAUAGUUAUUUCCUCGGCAUACAGGUAGGUGACUGAUGAACAGAUGAGACAAUGAUCAGACAGGGAGAGACAAAGACUGCAGGGCUUCUGUAAGGAGGUUUUUCAGCAAACACUGUCAAAAAUCUACUGGAGAAACAGGUGCUGAAACUUUACAGUGUGGGAAGUUUGGUCUCUCUUGGACAAAGUAAAAAAUGCUGAUAUACCAAUAGACAGACAGAUGUGUGUCUAGAAGGAUCCCUGUGGAGAGAAAAUGAGGGAUUGAAUCUCUCCCACAGUGUAGAUGUGUGAAAACAGUUGUUUUUUUGUGCUUGUUACAAAUUCAAUGAAUCCAGAAUAGCUUUUUAAAAAAAAAAUAA